GCGUGGGUUGGCUCAGUUGUUAGAGCGUAGCUCCCGUAACUGAAAGGUUGCGGGAUCGAAUCCCGCUAGAGGCU
rnacentral:tRNA from 1 species